ensembl:lncRNA
AAUAAGCAAUCCCAGCUUUAUAGGCAAAGCCCUCUGACUCCUUCCUUCCCCUGAUACCUGUCUCCUUCCCUUCUAGAAAAUACCACCCAGGGUAAUUUCUCCAGGAAAGGACAGGGAAGGCUCUUCAUUUCCAGCUCACACACAUGGCACCAAUUUAGUACAGAAAUACACAGAUACAAUAAUGAUGUAAUUAUGCCAUAUAAAUAUUAACCUUAUCCCUUUCCUUGUAGGUGGUUUGGUAAACCACUGCGUUGUCCGCACCACCGCUCAGGGGCGGUGUGGACAAUUAAAAGAGCAAUAGUAAUUAUAAGAAGUGUGCUUUGAAGACAGAGAAAUCACAAAACCCAUCUCAACAUAUGAAUACAAAAAUAGAAUUCACACACAGAGGCAUUUCCAGGAGUGAACACCACACAGUACCAUGGGGUAUGGGAUGGCGAUCAGUAGAAGUGGCCAUAAUUUUCCAAGUGCAGGUGUCCCUUGUUUUUAACUCCUUCUCCCUCCAUUUUCCAGAGUAACUUCCCCAGAGGAGCCUGCCUGGAGCUGGCCAUGCCUGGGCCCAGCCUAGAGGCCACUGUGGGGCCUGGUUACUUCUUCCUGGGAUAGAGGGGCAGAGCUGGCUGCAUCUCUGACGCCCAUUGCUGGGGCUCUAAGCUCUCUCCCCAUCUUCUUCCAUGGCCUCUAUCUCCUCCUACCUCUUCUCCCCGUCCCCCUCCCCCAGGGUCCUCUUCUCCUCUGCUGACAUCCCAGCCGCAACCACCCCAGGCCAAUGGCUUCCCAAAGUGCUGUCAGGUUCAUCUCGGUGCUUCUGGCUCACUCUCUGUGCAGAUGGGGGAUUUCUAUUUCUAUUGCCAGGUAACUGGAGUUCCCUGGAAGGGGUGGGGGGAUGCAGGGGCUCGGUCAAAUCCAAGGCAGACAAGGUCUGCGUUUGAGUUCAGUGGGGGCAGGAAGCCCUGUCUUGCUUUAUAUCUGUUUUUUCCUCCUUCUUUCAUCUUGGUGUUUAAUGGAGGGAAUCUGGAACCUGAUGCUCUUGUCUCCUUCCUGUCAGUUUUGUGCGUCAUUGACUUGUUCAUAUGCAGGCUGAUGGCAAAAACACCUCCCUACACACCCAGAUAGAAUGCAUCCUGGCCACCUGAGACUCACCGCAAGAAACAGCAGGACUUAGCACUUGCCCCUACAUUUUUUUUUCCCUUAAAAGAAAAAAUGCUUCAUAAAUGAACCAUCCACAACAAAGUCUUAUUUAGCAGAAACCAAAGAUCCCAGAGUGGGAAACAUCUGGCCCCUGGGCUAAGAGAUGCCUUCUUCGGUCCUUGAGAAUGCCUGACCGUGAGUCCCCUAACCCGUCCUAGGGUCUUCCACCCUCUCCCAUCUCAAAAGUCUCAAUCCUCUAGGGUCUCCUAGGCAAAGCUCUGCCGUGGUCCUGCAGCUUGCUCACAGAGCUGCCUCAUCCCAUCCUCCCAGGCUGUGGGCAAGCUUGCACUGCCCUAAGACAGCCCACCCCUCCAACCACCCCCACACUUCCCGAAGCUCCCCCCUCUCUAGCUCUAGUCCAUAGAGAUGGGGGAUAAUGCACUCCUAGAAUCCACCUCCUCCCCACUCAACAGCACGGAGACCCUGAUGGUGGGCAAGGGAGAUUCCAUUGGGAGCUGUGCGCCUGGCCCACCUUCCAGGAACCCUGGAAAACCCAGGAAACCCAGCCUGGCAGUUCCAGGGCCUGGGGAAGGGAAGUCAGGCUGUGUGAUGUCCCUACCCCUUUCAUCUAUGAAGUGGGGCCUGAGGUCCAGACCAGACCCAGGGACCUCUG